UACAGAGGCCUCAAGCGUUGUUCGGAUUCAUUGGGCGUAAAGGGUGCGUAGGCGGCGCGGUAAGUCGGGUGUGAAAUUUCGAGGCUUAACUUCGAAACUGCAUUCGAUACUGCCGUGCUUGAGGACUGGAGAGGAGACUGGAAUUUACGGUGUAGCGGUGAAAUGCGUAGAUAUCGUAAGGAAGACCAGUGGCGAAGGCGGGUCUCUGGACAGUUCCUGACGCUGAGGCACGAAGGCCAGGGGAGCAAACGGG
rnacentral:rRNA from 1 species